rnacentral:lncRNA from 13 species
AUGCCCUUCCCAUUGAACUACAAGCACAGUCAGAGAACUGUGUUAAAGCACAAAAACUAAGACAAAGAAAUGGUGGUGUCAGGAAGCCUGCAGCCUGGGGUUGGCAGAAACCAACGACACGUAAAGAAACCAGGCAGAAGAUCAAGAUGCAGAGGUUGGAGGCGAUCAACUGGCAGUGGGGCUUUGGUGGAGAAGGAGAUGUCAGAGAGGAAGGAGAGCAGGUCCUACACCAGCCCCUCUCGGCUAGAUAAGUUCUCUGCUAAACACCUCAAACAAAAUGAGAAAUCUACUACAAAGCCAGUUCUAUUCUCUCAUCCCAAGCACACACCCAAAAGAUCCUGUGCAGAAGAGAAAAACCUUUCACAGAGUACCCCCCCCAAAAAAACAAGGCAUCUCCCGGCCAGGGUAGAUGUCAGACUGGAGAGGGUUCCACUCCCAGCCCUUCCUACCAUGUUGACAGCCCCAUACAGAAGGACCACCACCAGCACCAGGAGAUCCAGAGGAGGAGAGCACCAGCAGCCCUUGUUUCCCGGCCUCCCUGGGGGAGACAUCUCCAGGGAGAGUCUCACAGAGCAGCCCAGCUGUUGUGAAAAGAUACCGCAAGGGAUAGACACCCCUGCACCUGGCUGCUAUAAAAGGAGAUGUGGAGACCGUGAAGGAGCUCCUAGGCCAGGGGGCUGACCCCAACCUGAAAGACGACGCUGGAUGGACCCCACUGAAUGUUAUGGUUCAGUGAGAAACAUGACUGGCGAAGGAGUCACUCAGAGCUGGUUUGAACCG